UACGAGGAGCACCAGUGACCUGUCCCUGCCGCCUACGAGAAACACCCAUGAUAUGCCACGGGUACCUACGAAAAGCAAGGUUAGGAAUUGUGGUGCCCUGACAGCACAUGGGAAGUCUCAAGGAUGGUAUUUUUUGUAUACGUCUUGUUGAACAAAAUACUCAUAAUAAAGAAUUUCGUACCCGA
rnacentral:lncRNA from 1 species